rnacentral:rRNA from 1 species
CCCUUUGUGAACAUACCUACAACUGUUGCUUCGGCGGGUAGGGUCCCCGUGACCCUCCCGGCCUCCCGCCCCCCCGGGCGGGUCGGCGCCCGCCGGAGGAUAACCAAACUCUGAUUUAACGACGUUUCUUCUGAGUGGUACAAGCAAAUAAUCAAAACUUUUAACAACGGAUCUCUUGGUUCUGGCAUCGAUGAAGAACGCAGCGAAAUGCGAUAAGUAAUGUGAAUUGCAGAAUUCAGUGAAUCAUCGAAUCUUUGAACGCACAUUGCGCCCGCCAGCAUUCUGGCGGGCAUGCCUGUUCGAGCGUCAUUUCAACCCUCAAGCUCUGCUUGGUGUUGGGGCCCUACAGCUGAUGUAGGCCCUCAAAGGUAGUGGCGGACCCUCCCGGAGCCUCCUUUGCGUAGUAACUUUACGUCUCGCACUGGGAUCCGGAGGGACUCUUGCCGUAAAACCCCCCAAUUUUCCAAAGGUUGACCUCGGAUCAGGUAGGAAUACCCGCUGAACUUAAGCAUAUCAA